AAGUGGGGUGGGGCAGGGGCACCAGGGGUGAAGGGGAGCACUUAUAUGGUGGCAGUCAGGAAAUAAUGUACAACUGAAAUCUCACAUUGAUGUAAACUAUUAUGAACUCAAUAAAAAAAAAUUGCCUGUUACAGCACUUAUUGGCAUGUAAUUCUGGUAGGGCACAUCAUGAUUAUCUGGGUCUCUCAUUUAUAAAUGAGGGAGUUGUAGGAGUGUUCUAGUGCCUUCCAUCUUGAACAUUCUCUCAUUCCAAAGUAGGACUCUGACAUAGCCCUAAUGUGCUUCUAGGUCCUUGCCUUUCCAGGACAUUGACGUAAGGCAGAACAUGCUUCCUGUACUUCUCUAAGCAGCCCGAGUGGACCAAGACAAGGGCCGUGUACGGCGGGCGCCACUGAGUGUGAGACCUGCGGGUUCCUCCUCGUGUCUGGGGAUUGGCAGUUCUCUUCCCCACUUCACAGACGAGGAAGCUGAAACCCAGAGAGGACACAUCACCUGCCCAAGUUUUUCUCAAACCAAAGCCCAUACAAAUGGCCGGGUGGAAACAUCACUAAAUAUUUAUAAGACCAAGCAAGCCUGUUGUGGUGGUGUUUAUAAUAAAAAAAAUGGUAACAGGCUAAAAGUCUCAAUAGGUGGAGUAAAUGAAGUACACCAUCCGUAGGAUAGAGUGUGUGCUAUGGAUCAAAGACGCUUGGAAAGAAACUGAUGUGAGAAAACGCUCAUGGAAGUAUCAUUCAUCAGUUUAUAGCACAUUUUUUCCAAUUUGUUAAAAUAUGGUCACAUGUGUAUGAAAAAAGGAAGGAUACAUAUUAAAAUUUUUGUCGUUUGUGCCGUGGAAUGGAUUCCGACUCCUAGCGGCCCUGCGUACAGCAGAGCGGAACCCUGCCGGGUGUUUCUGCGCCAUCCUCUCACCUUCCGGCACUGCAUCAGACAAUGCUCUGCUGCUAUUCACAGGGUUUUCAUGGUCAAAAUUUUUGGAAGUGCCUGGCCAGCUCCUUCUUCCUAGUCUGUCGGAGUCUGGAAGCUCUACUGAAGCCUGUCCACCAUGGGUGACCCUGCUGGUAUUUGAAAUCCCGGUGGCAGAGCUUUCAGCAACACACAGCUGCCGCAGUGUGACAACGACUGAUGGGUGGUGUGGUCCCUGAUGGGAGACAAACCUGGGCCGUGCAGUGAGAGCGCCACAUCUUAACCCAGACCACCAGGGCUGGCCACACAUCAAAAUAACAACAAUUAUAUCUAACUAGGAGAAUGACGGGUGAUUUUUAUUUUUCCCUUUGUUUUUUUCUAACUUUUCCAAAGUUUCUGCAAUAAACGCUUCUUAUUUGUAUAAUGGAGGGGUCAUUAAAUUCUUUUGAAAGAAUCAACCAGUCCAUCACCCAGGGAUUCAUUAUCUGAAAUGAAUGUUUUUCAAAACAUGGGGGGAAACAACUUCUCCCUUGUAGAUUCUGCUCUUGGUUUCUAAACCAUGAUUUUAUAGAAAAAGAACGUUUCAGUUUCAGAGGGCAGCAAGUAGUUAUGCAAUCUUGCACACGUCAUUAAGGAAUCUUCAAAUGGACUCACCACCCUCAGUGUGAUAGAAAAGACUCGGGCGUUCAAGUGCACCCGCCAGCACUCGGAACCUGGGCAAGCCCGUCUUCUCACAAUGUUUCCCCUCUAUAACAUGGAGAGCAAUAUUGCUUUUCUGUGUGUUAUUGGGUCCAGAAAACCCCACAUUCCCCGGAAGCAAGGUAGGGCCGUUCUCACAGAAGUACAGUCAAGGCUCUGUUUUCGACACAGGAUAUCUUUUACUAGAAGGCGGGAGAGGAAGCUGGUUCAGCUGGCUAAAUCCCUGCCAGGGAUGAACCACCAGAGCCCAGCCUGAGUCACUCAGUGAGUCACUCAGUGAGCCACUCAGUGAGUCACCGAAGCGGCCGGCUGAGGAGGCAGGCAGCACCCACAGACGGGAGCCCACCAGGGUCUGCGGCAGGAAGGCGGGGCGCCUACCACAGCAUGGCUUGCCAAGCAGCGCUGUCUCCAAACCCGGGCUCCGAACCUGCGAACCCCUGGCCGCUGAGAAGCGGAACGUGCGCACUUAACAGCUGCGCCACCGGCCGGCCCCUGGACUCUUCUGAUGACUUCUGCCUGCCUUUCUGAAAAUGCCCGUCCUGCCUUCCCCCGACUUUCCAGCCCCAGGCCCCCCAACACUCCCUGCCCCCAGAGCAGAUCCCACCCCUCCGACCUGACUUCUCGGAUACCUGAAACUGCCCAGAGACCCAUUAUUUUUCCGGGACGCUCCCAGGAAGAUAAAUUUGUCCGUUCUCCUUGAUGCGGAUGAAUUUCUCGUCUUCUUUCCCAGCGGGUUUUGGUUGAGAGACGUGAGAGAAGAGGGAAGCCCUAGGGCCCGGGCCCAGUGACGGCGCGCUGCAGACCUGGACAGGAGAAGGGGUUCAGAAAGGCGGGAUCAGCGUAGACUUUCGUUGCAUCAGGCCACACCUUCUGUCUGCGCUCACGCGUGUCUGCCCCUUAAGGACUCUGUCCUUCCCCUCCCGUCAGCCCUCAGGAGAAAGCCCCCGGCCCUGGCUUCAAACCCCUAUUAACUGCUGUUGGUCAGCACAGCACAAAGCCACCUUUGUGAGAGAGGUUAGGUUAGCUUCUCUUUACUGCUCUAGAAAUCUGGCUGCAGACAGAACUAGCGACCUGGGGCCGGUCCCUGGCACAGUCUCCGGGCGGUGUCCUAACUGGAACGCUGAACGAGUCCCCAGUGCCGGAGCCUUGCGGUGGCUGAAAAAUGACGCUUGCAUUCCCGUCAUCAACCAGAUGGCUCAUGUCGAGUGUCCUGAUUGUUUUGGGUAUUCUUUGUGUGCAACUUUGAGUCCCUGUCUCGUAUUUGGGUCAGAGCAACGGGAAGGACACAUGACUUGCUUUAAAAUUAGCCUCAAACUCAUUGCAUAACCGGUCUCGUUUUCACUAAAUGGAAUGGUUUCUUGAGAGGACAGCAUGGCAUUUGUAGUUAAGUCUGUCUGGUUGAGUUACCUUGGAGAACAUCGUUUCCAUCCACCAGGACUCAGUGUUUCCACCUGUGAAAUGGGGUAGCUUUUGUUUGAAAGAAAAUAAAUGAAGGGUAACAACAUAAAAGUAACCACCUCAUCCAGACCCCCUUCCCCCAGCCACACCACACACACACUCACACUCACACACUCACACACACACACACACACAGUUUUGGGGCUUGUCAGCAGAUGGACAACAAUCUCUUCUAGUCCCCAAAAGACAGGGCAAACAUAGAGCGGAAAGAAAUGCUUACUCCCUAAAUCACGCCAUCGUCAGAGCCCAGCGGCAUGUUCUGAUGGCUUAGUGAGCUCAGAGAAUAUAUUUUAAGUCUUAAGAAAACAAACUUUUCUGUCUGUUUUCUCCUGGGACCGGGACAUAGUCUUCAUACAAAUUCAAAAUCAACAAAAAGAAACUAACAAAAAACCCUCCUGACUGCUGUCCUUCUCCAAGAACAAAUGGUUUCUCCAGAUUUCUGAUUCAUCUUGGCAAUGUGUGCGAAUAAACCCGAAUGACCCCGAGGAUAAAUAGAUGCAAAGAACUAGGCGUGAUUGUGUAUGCCUAGAAUGUUUCUUUGUAACAGCAAACAGUGUUCCCAUGAUCGGUUGAGUUAGAAGAAUGGUCUGUUGUAAUUUAUAUCUCACUUCUGAGGUGGUGGUAAAUUGCCGAGGGUUAGAGCAGAGAGUGCUAAAAGAUGUGGGCCUCUUUUAAGUAGGGGGACAAAGAGGAGGUGACAUUCAGCUAGAAGCCACCAAGCACAGGGUAAAUCCAUCUUACAGCCGGCUGUGUCACCAGGCGAGGAGGCUUCCGGGUGCUCUAAGAUCUUUGCAGCAGACGGACCUGGGUUCAGAUCCCAGCUUCCUGGCCACGUGGCCUCGGGCCAGCUUCCUGCCUUUUAGAACCUCUCUCCGCUCCUCUGUAAAGUGAGGGUGAGAACAGUGCCUUGUGAGGCUUAAGUGAGAUGAUGCUUGUAGAGAGGGCUCAGCAGAGUGCCUGGUACACAAUCAGCCCUGACAAAUGCUGGACAUUGUGGGAAAUUGUACUUAGCCCUCAUCUCCUAGGGCUGCCAUGACGAAUUACCGCAAAUUUGGUAACUUAACACAACAGAAAUUUAUUCUCUUGCAGCUCUAGGGACCAGGAGUCUGAAAGCAAGGUGUUGGCAGCUCGGUGCUCCCCUGAGGGCUCUGGGGAGUAUCCUUCCCCACCUCUAGCAGCUUCCAGCGGCUGUGGGCAUUCCUUGGCUUGGGGCUGCAUGCAUCGCUCCAGUCUCUGCCUCCAAGUUCAUGCAGCCUUCUCCCCUUCUCCCUCUGUCUCUCUUCUAUUUGUCUCUUAGAAGGACACAUUAUUGUAUUUAGGGCCUACCUAGAUAAUCCAGAAUGAUCUUAUCUCGAGACCCCUAAUUUAACACAUCUGCAAAAAUAAGGUCACAUUCACGGGUUCUAGGGACUAGGAUGUGGGUAUAUCUGUUCGGGGACCACUAUUCAAUCCACUACAGUAAUAUUUAUAUGGUUAUUUAGCAAGAAGUGCAGUACUGGCCAUCACCCUGGGUGGGCGGGGUCCUGGGCCCAUCACUUUAGAAGGCCCUCUGUCACAUGGCACGGGCUCAGUGUAACCCCCAAUGCUGAACAUCUGCAGGUGACUGACACCCUCCAGGCCCCAAGGUAUCCCCUACAUCUUUUGCCCCGUGUUCUCCAAGCAGAAGGUAACCACGCCCAAAGCUGCAAAGGUUUGUAGAGUGUGCCACUGCUGACCUCAGAUCUGACGCUGCCUCGGAGAGCGAGGAAGAUGCUGGUGGUAGAAGCUCCUGGGAGAGAGGGAAGAUGACGUAGCUGUGCCAUCCUCCUCUCCAAGUGGCCCGCCUGCAACAGUCUCUGGUUUCUCUUCAUGUUCCAACGGAUGGUUCUGGAAUUAUUCGUGAAUUAGCACAAUAUCCACAACAGUUCACGGUACACUUAAAUGCAGAUGUAUGUAGGUGCACCAAUAAUAUGUGUGAAGCAUGAUAUCAACUCUUUACAACACUAUAUGGAUCUGUAUAUUUUUAAAUAUUGUUUUAAGAGAUUUUGAAAAUCAUGAAAUAAAUGAUGGUGAUUUAUAGGAUGAAAUUAAAACAUUUGUAACAGUGUCUGUGAUCAUGAAUAUAUCAGAUGCAACCCAAUUACAAUGUUGGUAUAUAAAACUCAUGAUCCAUUUCCAAAUCAAAGUAUUGCUUUAAGAAUUUUAUUGACGAUUUCAAUUGCUGCUGCCUCUGCAGAGCAAAAUUUCUCCACAUUGAAAAUUUAAAAAAACCCAAAGAUUCGAGAAAGGUCAUCUAGUGUGCAUUACUUUUAAUAGGACUCAAAUGAUGUGAAAAUAUUGAUUAUAACAACAUAAUUAGUGGUUUUGCUGAAAUGAAAACCAGGAAGAUUAAUUUUAUGGAUAAAUAUAUAACCAUACAUGAAUUGUGUGUCUUUAUUGUAUUGCUCAUUUAGACAUAUCAGCCCUUGAGGCCAGCCCCGUGGCCGAGUGGUUAAGUUUUCACGCUCCGCUUCAGCGGCCCAGGGUUCUCCAGCUUGGAUCCUGGGUGUGGGCGUACACACCACUAGUCAAGCCAUGCUGAGGUGGCG
rnacentral:lncRNA from 1 species